AACGAACGCUGGCGGCAUGCCUAACACAUGCAAGUCGAACGAGACCUUCGGGUCUAGUGGCGCACGGGUUCGUAACGCGUGGGAAUCUGCCCUUGGGUUCGGAAUAACAGUUGGAAACGACUGCUAAUACCGGAUGCUGACGUAAGUCCAAAGAUUUAUCGCCCAAGGAUGAGCCCGCGUAGGAUUAGCUAGUUGGUGAGGUAAAGGCUCACCAAGGCGACGAUCCUUAGCUGGUCUGAGAGGAUGAUCAGCCACACUGGGACUGAGACACGGCCCAGACUCGUACGGGAGGCAGCAGUGGGGAAUAUUGGACCAUGGGCGAGAGCCUGAUCCAGCAAUGCCGCGUGAGUGAUGAAGGCCUUAGGGUUGUAAAGCUCUUUUAACCGGGAUGAUAAUGACAGUACCGGGAGAAGAAGCUCCGGCUAACUCCGUG
rnacentral:rRNA from 1 species